GUAGAGGGGUGGGUGCCAGGGUUGGGAGGACAGAUGAUUGGGGAGGUGUUGUUUAAUGGGUGCAGAUUCAGUUUUGCAAGAUGAAAACAGUUCUGGAGACUGAUUGUACAACAAUAUGAAUGAACUACCACUGAACUAUACAGCUAAAAAUGUCUAGGAUGGGCAUUUUUGUGGAUAUAAGAAGAUAACACACGUUGGAAGUACACUGGAAACUAUCAGGCAUCACACUAAUAUAAAGUAUAAUUCUAAGCAAUGUAAAA